AGGUAGCAUAAUCAUUUGUUAUCUAAAUGAUAACUAGUAUGAAUGGUCUGACGAGAAAAUAACUUUCUAAAAAGAAAAGAUAAAAAUUUAUUUUAAAGUAAAAAAGCUUUAUAACUUUAGAAAGACGAGAAGACCCUAGAACCUAUUCUAUCUAUAUAGUUUGUUGGGGUGACAUUAUUCAAAACAAAUAACUAUUAAAACUUAUUGACUGAUUCUAUCUAUCUUUAUUAAAAAAAAAAAAGGUACUCUAGGGAUAACAGCAUAAUCUUCUUCUAGAGCCCUAAUCGACAAGAAAGAUUUUGACCUCGAUGUUGAAUUGAUAUUUCUUUCUAAAGCAGAA
rnacentral:rRNA from 1 species